rnacentral:rRNA from 1 species
UAGCGGCAGGCUUAACACAUGCAAGGUCGAGGGGGCAGCAUGAUAAGUAGCAAUACUUAUUGAUGGCGACCGGCGCAAGGGUGCGUAACGCGUGAGUAACAUGCCCGUAUCAGGAGGAUAACCCGGAGAAAUCCGGACUAAUACUGCAUAAUAUCGAUUUGAGGCAUCUUAGAUUGAUUAAAGUUUCGACGGAUACGGAUUGGCUCGCGUGACAUUAGCUAGAUGGUAAGGUAACGGCUUACCAUGGCGACGAUGUCUAGGGGUUCUGAGAGGAAGGUCCCCCACACUGGAACUGAGACACGGUCCAGACUCCUACGGGAGGCAGCAGUGAGGAAUAUUGGACAAUGGAUGGAAAUCUGAUCCAGCCAUGCCGCGUGAAGGAAUACGGUCCUAUGGAUUUUAAACUUCUUUUGUAUGGGAGCAAUAAGGUGUACGCGUACAUCGAUGAGAGUACCAUACGAAUAAGCAUCGGCUAACUCCGUG